rnacentral:lncRNA from 1 species
CAUAUAUAUGCAUAUUUAUUAAAGACAAUGUGAAUGAAUGUUAUUUUUGAAAAUCUAUUUUGGUUUAACAUUUUGGGGUGUAGCAAUUCAAAAGUCUGGUUCCAAGCUCAAUUUAUUUUGAUACUCAGUUUUAAAGAACCAGAGGAGGUUCCACAAAGAUAUAUAAACCCAAAUGAAAAAGGUGCAAUAUUAUACGACAUGGUAAAUUUCCCUGGUUCUUUUGAUGGGGCAGAGCAGUAAAAAUGAAGACCAAAAGUCAGAUGGAGAAUAAUUACCUACCUAGCUGGGGAGCAGUCCACGCAACAGCCCACUCUAAAUGCAGGCAGGGAAAAACAAACCAGGAGGGCAGAAGUACCUGGAACAGCUGUGCUCCUCUCAAUUCUACGACUUUCAUUGUACACUCCACUUUGGAUACCACUGCUCUGGACAUUUCCAUCUCAGCUGCAUUAAGCUCUAGAAUACUGCAGAGCCUCCAAUAUCAACCCAUUAGCAUUUCACAAGUACCUACACUAUGUUAUGUGUGGUAUACCCAUUACAAAGGAUACAAAGACAAAUUAAAACAAUCCACACUUAGAUUUGAAUGAUUUCACAUAGGAAAAACUAUGGAGAAUGUCAUCUGCAAUACAAGAGUUGGAUGGAAAGAUUAUACAAUUCAGAAGUGCAGUUUCUUCAUGAAACAUUUCAGCUGACUUUUUAGCACCAAUAUUCAUUCAAUAAUCCCUCUGGAGUUCUAAUGUUUUCUAACCAGUUACCAGAUCCCAAUUAUUUCUACCACAAUACUCAACUGCUUGUCUCUUUCAUGUUGUUGAUUAUCAAUUCAUUACAGCCUUCCUGAACUACAUUAGCCUAAAGGAGACACUUUCUCUCCAUGAAAUCUUCAAUGAUAUUCCUAGUUUUAAAAAUAUUUAGCUUUUUUCCUAAGACAUGAAAUCUAUAUGGCCUCAAUAACCCAGUAUGCAGGUGGGUGUCAUAGCUUUAGUAGUAAAGCUGAUCUUGCACUAAGGCUGUGACCAGAACUCAACCUUAAGAAACUGUUACCAGUUCAAAAGAAAGGGAACAAGGAUCUUUACUCUUUACAAUCCAAUGAAGUGCACUGGAUUUGUAGUCAGAUGACAGGUGUUUUGAUUCCCAGCCUUUGAUCCUUACUAUCUUCAUAAAUGUUAUCUCACUAGAACCUAUAGUAGGUGGCUUUUAUUAAACACAUUUUACAGUCAAGGAAAUCUAGCUCAGGUCUUUCCUGACUCUGAACUGGGCCACGUAAAUUUAACCUACUGUACUCCUUGCUUUGAAAAAUUAAAAGAAUUUGACUAAAUCAACUCAAUUGUUUUUUCUGAAAUCUACAUUCCUGAGUAUUUGGAUCAAAAUUCAAGAGGGAAAGGAAAGUACAGAAGAGUGUGUCUACAGAAAUUGCCUGAGGGACAGCUUGAUGUAGACCCAAGUUCAAAUGCAGUCAAAGAUACUUCUAGCUGUGUGACUCAUGAGCAAGUCACUUAAACCCCACUGCCAGAAGAAAAAAAAAAGCUGCCAAUCAGUUUUUUAAGUAUCUCCUUUGAGAAAUGUUAUCUAAGCCAGCUAUGGUUAAUAAAACGCUUUUGGGCCCUUGCACUUAAGCAGAGAUGAAAUUAAUCCAUUUUUGUACUCUGCAACUGUCAAGCAAAAGACCCACCCCUCCCCUCGUUACAAAUCUGCACAUUCUCUGGCCUAUUGUCCACAAUAUAAGUUGACGUUGGGAGAAAAAAAAAAAAAAUCACCCCGCCAAAUAAAUUUUGAAUCUAGGUUAUGCACUAGUACUGUUCUUACAUCUUGACAGGUUCCAAUUUUCCUGCCAUUACUUUAAAAAGUAUAGAAAUCAGUAGGUGGAAAUUCCAACACUAUAGAAAAAACUCUUGACAUUGAAAACAAUUCACACCAGUGGCAUUCCUCAAGAGGCUUCAUUAUCCAAAGUACUUUGUAGACAGAAUUUGCAGACUGGACCAUUUCACCACCACCUGUCUUUGGAUUUUGUUUAUGGUCAGAUGCAGUAAGGGAAAUUCAGUUAUCAAGACCAAAAGUUCAUUCCUUUUACAAAAUCUCAUAAGGCACUAUUACAAAGUAAAACCUUAUGGAUAAAAAUUAAAAAAAAAAAAAAAAAGUCUGUAUUUGGAAAUGAUAAUGGUCUAACAUUUAUGAUACCUUAGUUUAUACUUCUUGAAAUUGGUGGUAAUGGACAAUCCUGGUAGCCAUUUGAUCCUCUUAUCCUCACCCCGAGAAGUUACCUAAUGUUGGCAGGGGUCCAUUUUUAUGCACAGCCCAAUCAGAAAUAUCCCAUGUCUACAGAGCUCAAAUAGCCCAAAAGUUCAUACAUAUAGGUAAAAAGCAAUAAAAAUCCAAUGCUUCAUGUGAUACUUUCAAUUUGAAAAUAUGAAAAACCAAAUUGGAGUGAACCAGUUAAAUAUCAUAUAGUCAAAUAAUCAAAUGUUACCAGAAGCUAUACAAGAACAGCAGGAAGUUAAGAUCUACAGAGUUUAUAUUUUGUCUGAGCUGUGGGAUAUGUCAAGUCAGGUAUACUAUGCACUAACUAUAUACAGAGGAUCACUUUCAACUGUGAUUACCAUCACUGUCAUGAAUUUGACACUUGAAAAGGGACUUACAGGCAUGUGCUGAUCAACAGCAAGUGGUAGUAUAUUUCCCAUUAUUUAGCAAAAUGAUUUAAAGCAUCUAAUUGCCCACCUGAGAAAUUUUAACUUAAAGCAACCUAGUUACCUUAAUUUUAGAUCAUGGACAACAGAUUAGUGAAAUGAGGAAGUGAUAAAAAGUGGCAAAAUGAUUGAGGUGGAGAGAGUGGGCAUUUUGAUUUGGGAUGAAGGGUACAUUUUGAGCAAGUAGACCAGUUUGUCUAAUAAACACAUGCAGGAUAAAGAAGUGAGGAUAGCAAUGGUGAGAAUGUGUAUUCCAUCUGUAACAGGACUGAUUUUGGAACCAGAAA